UACCAGCACCCCGAGUGGUCGGGACGAUUAUUGGGCCUAAAGCAUCCGUAGCCGGCCUUACAAGUCCUCCGUUAAAUCCAGCUGCUUAACAGAUGGGCUGCGGAGGAUACUAUGAGACUAGGAGGCAGGAGAGGCAAGCGGUACUCAGUGGGUAGGGGUAAAAUCCGUUGAUCCAUUGAAGACCACCAGUGGCGAAGGCGGCUUGCCAGAAUGCGCUCGACGGUGAGGGAUGAAAGCUGGGGGAGCAAACCGG
rnacentral:rRNA from 1 species